AUGGAUAGUUUACGAGGAGUUGAGAGCAGAUCAGCACCUGUAGUAUUGCAUAGGAUACGCAGACAUUCCCAUACAGUGACAGGUGUUCCUAUUCCAGCGAACGGAAGAUGAAUUGUAAAAAUUGUAAUAAGAAGACCAAUUGUUGCUGUAAAAAAUGUACAUUAGAAAAGCUAAAAAUAUAUUCCCGACGAGAGAAUAUUACACAAAGAUAUGAAGAAAAAGAACGACUUCAAGCAGAAAUACUAGCUUUCAUUGAUCCAACAGAGUCUCUGAAAGAGCAGAUAACAAUUAAAGAAGAUCGACUAAUAAAGCUUCAUAUUGCCGUUGAAAAUGCAAAAAUGCGGAUUGCAAUGAAGCAAAGUGAAGUGAAUAAAUUGGAUACUACUCCACAUUCUAAACCAUCACAAUUUGAUGCAGUUUUCACCUCACAGAGCAAUUUCAUCUCGAGAGCUGAUAUUAAGAAAAAAGAAAAAUCAGAAAGAUUAACGAAACUCGAAGAGGAAGUCGCUAAAAAGCGUCUAAAAUAUUGUAUUCAUGCGUGUCGCAUAUUUCCAGUUCAAGUGUAUGAUGUCAACGUGGAAAGUGUGACUGUGAAAUCGAAAAACUCGAAAAAUUGGGCAGUUGUGAACGAUUCAGAGCUGCAGAAGGGUUUAAGAAUAGCGAUUCGAAACUCCUACAUCAAUGAUAAACUACGAGCAAAGCUAGCAAAUCAACUAUCAAAUGGAACAAUAAGUCUUCCAUUGGAUCUACAUCCACCAUUUGCUGCCUUCACCAAUACACUUCAACUCGUUCAUUUAUUGAGUGUGAUUUUCAAUUUCCGACCACCAGAAACACUUUCUCAUCAUGAUUUGUGUAUUCGUGAACGGUGGACAAAAGAAUCAUUGAAUCGAGAUUGGUCGACUCUUUGUGAUGCAGUUAUCUAUUUGUGUAUAUUUAUUGGAAUGUCACAUACAAAAUUGAAGUACACUGAUCCACAUCAUAAUCUUAUUGCCCUCGCGUCUUUCGUUGUUAACGAUUAUAACAACAUUAAUCGAAUUGGGAGUCGUCCAAUGUGUGAUCUUUCGGAAGUUCAUGCCCUUAUUGAAGCUCAACGUCCAGAGGAUUGUCAGAAGAAAGACGAACUCGAUGAAUCUUGGACAUUUGUUGACUAA
rnacentral:misc_RNA from 1 species